AACGAACGCUGGCGGCAUGCCUAAUACAUGCAAGUCGAACGAUCACUUCGGUGAUAGUGGCGCACGGGUGCGUAACGCGUGGGAAUCUGCCCUUGGGUUCGGAAUAACAGCUGGAAACGGCUGCUAAUACCGGAUGAUGACGUAAGUCCAAAGAUUUAUCGCCCAGGGAUGAGCCCGCGUAGGAUUAGGUAGUUGGUGGGGUAAAGGCCUACCAAGCCUACGAUCCUUAGCUGGUCUGAGAGGAUGAUCAGCCACACUGGGAGUGAGACACGGCCCAGACUCCUACGGGAGGCAGCAGUAGGGAAUAUUGGACAAUGGGGGCGACCCUGAUCCAGCAAUGCCGCGUGAGUGAUGAAGGCCUUAGGGUUGUAAAGCUCUUUUACCCGGGAUGAUAAUGACAGUACCGGGAGAAUAAGCCCCGGCUAACUCCGUGCCAGCAGCCGCAGUAA
rnacentral:rRNA from 1 species